GACGAACGCUGGCGGCGUGCUUAACACAUGCAAGUCGAACGGAAAGGCCCUGCUUUUGUGGGGUGCUCGAGUGGCGAACGGGUGAGUAACACGUGAGUAACCUGCCCUUGACUUUGGGAUAACUUCAGGAAACUGGGGCUAAUACCGGAUAGGAGCUCCUGCUGCAUGGUGGGGGUUGGAAAGUUUCGGCGGUUGGGGAUGGACUCGCGGCUUAUCAGCUUGUUGGUGGGGUAGUGGCUUACCAAGGCUUUGACGGGUAGCCGGCCUGAGAGGGUGACCGGCCACAUUGGGACUGAGAUACGGCCCAGACUCCUACGGGAGGCAGCAGUGGGGAAUAUUGCACAAUGGGCGGAAGCCUGAUGCAGCGACGCCGCGUGCGGGAUGACGGCCUUCGGGUUGUAAACCGCUUUCGCCUGUGACGAAGCGUGAGUGACGGUAAUGGGUAAAGAAGCACCGGCUAACUACGUG
rnacentral:rRNA from 1 species